GAUGAACGCUGGCGGCGUGCCUAAUACAUGCAAGUCGAGCGAACGGACGAGAAGCUUGCUUCUCUGAUGUUAGCGGCGGACGGGUGAGUAACACGUGGAUAACCUACCUAUAAGACUGGGAUAACUUCGGGAAACCGGAGCUAAUACCGGAUAAUAUUUUGAACCGCAUGGUUCAAAAGUGAAAGACGGUCUUGCUGUCACUUAUAGAUGGAUCCGCGCUGCAUUAGCUAGUUGGUAAGGUAACGGCUUACCAAGGCAACGAUGCAUAGCCGACCUGAGAGAGGGAUCGGCCACACUGGAACGGAGACACGGUCCAGACUCCUACGGGAGGCAGCAGUAGGGAAUCUUCCGCAAUGGGCGAAAGCCUGACGGAGCAACGCCGCGUGAGCGAUGAAGGUCUUCGGAUCGUAAAACUCUGUUAUUAGGGAAGAACAUAUGUGUAAGUAACUGUGCACAUCUUGACGGUACCUAAUCAGAAAGCCACGGCUAACUACGUG
rnacentral:rRNA from 1 species